UACGAACUGUGCAAACGUUAUUCGGAAUCACUGGGCUUAAAGGGUGCGUAGGCGGCUGUCUAAGCAGGGUGUGAAAGCCCACGGCUCAACCGGGGAAUUGCGUUCUGAACUGGACGGCUGGAGUGGGAUAGGGGUGUGUGGAACUUCCGGUGGAGCGGUGAAAUGUGUUGAUAUCGGAAGGAACGCCGGUGGCGAAAGCGACACACUGGGUCUCAACUGACGCUGAGGCACGAAAGCCAGGGGAGCGAACGGG
rnacentral:rRNA from 1 species